rnacentral:rRNA from 1 species
AUGUAUAUUGCAUAUAUGAACUACUCGUGGCAACCGCCAAACACAAGAAAGAUUGUUAGUACUUCUUUUUUUGAGAAACAAAUUGUUAGUGCUAUACUCCACGAUCCUGGUGCUUCAUGCCAUGGCUCCACGGAAUUAUCAUUGACCGGAAGCCUGAUUCUAGCGGCAAGGGUAGUGAAAAUAUGCGAAAAGUGCCUGCAGAGGCCGAAUUCCAUUGAGCUCUUUAUUUUCUUCCAGCAAAAAUACUUUUUCUACACCUUCAAAAAAUCUGAAAAAGUAUACAUGUAUACAUAUAUUUGUAGUAUACAUGUACAAAAUUUCAUGUAG